UAUGAGGGAGAAUUGGAAAGAGCCCCUGCAGUUCCUCAGAGCCCCAUCAUUGGGAAUUAGGAGGUCAUUAGAAAGACUGACUAGAGGGCUGAAAGUGCCUGGAGAGCUUACAUUUAUAACAGCCUCCCUUCUCCACCCCUCUGCCCAGCUGCCCGGGCUCUUUGCAGUAAUAGCAGAAACUGGGGUUGGUUUUUUUUUGUUUUGUGUUUAGGGGCCUUCAUUUGCCAGAGUUGAAAAUUGAUACUUUUAGCAGUCUGUCUUUUAGGUGACUCAUCUAGGAUGCAGGCAGGCUGGUUUGCCAUAGUAACUAAAUCUGGAGUGGGCAGUUUGUCCUUUUAUCCUGGUCGUUUUAAACUAAAGGAGAAAUUUCCCAGUUUGGAACAUUAAUAAACACAAAGUUGAAUGCUACCUGGGUAGAUUCAGCGUCUAAAGAAAGAUCAUAAUUUUCUUUAAAGACAUUUUGGAGUCCCUCGUAAUCAACAUGAACAGGUUCAUCAAGCUUUUGUGUACAAACCUAAAUUUUGUUUCAGACAAUGGACUUUAGGAAAAGCAACUGUAAUUGCUCAGUGGAGAUUUCCAACAAGUGUUCUAGUUAGAGUUUUAUUUUUCAGGAUGUUCUCUAGCUAGUGUUAUGCAGUGUUUGCCCUGUUUCUUAAAGCACAUGGAAUAACGGAUAUAGAUCUGAGAAACCCAAGUGGUAAGUUUGAUAAACUGUGUUAAAUUCUUCAGCAGACUUACUGAGAGUCCUCAGUCACUUCAGGGAACUAUAACUAUGGCUCAUAAUUCAGCCUUAGUACACCAAACAUAAGGAACUUGAGGUUUAUUUAGUCCUUAAAAGACUUAAAGAAGCAGGUUUUAGUCAGUUCAGGAGAGGAGGGAGCAGCAGAGAGAUUAGUAGAAAAGGCAAGUUCAGAGAGAAUAGACAAAAAUGGUGCCAGAGUUGGGGACUGAGUACAAGAUGGGUGCAGACGAAGGUGGGGAGAAAAAGGCCUCAGAAGCCAUUUUGAUGCCUUUCAGUUGUUUGUUUGCCUCAGUUGAUUCAGAAAUAGGAUUUUGCAAAAACGCAAACUCCGAAUCCUGAAAACAUCAGGAAGCCUCAAGGUACUGUUUAAAAUAGGCAUCCCAGAGAUGAAGAGUUUGCCAGACAAAUAAAAGGUAAAGAAUUCAUGACCACUAAACUAGUCCUACAAGAAAUGUUAAAAGGGACUCUUUGAGUGGAAAGACAGUUCAUAAGUGUAGUAAGAAAAGUAGGAACCACAAAAGCAGUGUAUCUAUAAAAUCGAUAACGGGAUUCACAAAGUAAAAGGAUAUAAAUCAUGAAACCAUAUAUCUCGAAUGUGGGGGGAAGGAGAAGGGUAAAGAAUGGGUUCAAAUUUAAGUGACCAUCAACUUCAUAUAAACUGUUGUAUGCUAAAAAUGUUAUUUACAAACCUAAUGGUAACCACAAUUCAAAAACCAGUAACAG